GAUGAACGCUGGCGGCGUGCCUAAUACAUGCAAGUCGAGCGAACGGACGAGAAGCUUGCUUCUCUGAUGUUAGCGGCGGACGGGUGAGUAACACGUGGAUAACCUACCUAUAAGACUGGGAUAACUUCGGGAAACCGGAGCUAAUACCGGAAAAUAUUUUGAACCGCAUGGUUCAAAAGUUAAAUACGUUCUUGCUGUCACUUAUAGAUGGAUCCGCGCUGCAUUAGCUAGUUGGUAAGGUAACGGCUUACCAAGGCAACGAUGCAUAGCCGACCUGAGAGGGUGAUCGGCCACACUGGAACUGAGACACGGUCCAGACUCCUACGGGAGGCAGCAGUAGGGAAUCUUCCGCAAUGGGCGAAAGCCUGACGGAGCAACGCCGCGUGAGUGAUGAAGGUCUUCGGAUCGUAAAACUCUGUUAUUAGGGAAGAACAUAUGUGUAAGUAACUGUGCACAUCUUGACGGUACCUAAUCAGAAAGCCACGGCUAACUACGUG
rnacentral:rRNA from 1 species